UCAUACGGCCAAUCAUUGUACAUUGGUUUCAGGAAGUGAUUUCUAAUGAAAGUCAUGAUUUUCGUAAAAAUGCUUGACUAUGGUGUAAUAAUGGCAGUAUUUUCGAGGAAGUCCUAUAUCCAGUUGUUUUGAUGUGUCCUGUGGUACCGGUUCGUUCAAAAUGGUCGGAAUAUAAGGUUUAGAAUUGCAACAAAAACAACUGGAAGUGAUUCGACAAUUCGGCAGUAUUAUGAGAGCGGUGAAUAAAUUAUUGCCAAUUUAAUCUACUUUGUCCAAACACUGAAACCCCCAUUUAUUCCCACAUUGUACAGCUUCAGAGUUUGAAAUAUUACCGGCUGGCAAUGGAGCGAGGGUGUUCCAUGGACACGAUCUCGUCCGUGCCUAGGCACGAUGACGUCAAUGAGAGCAGAAAAUUCAUGGCGAAAGGAGAAACAUGUAUGUGUCACCCGUUCAGACCCAUUCAUGCCUCGAAAGUAUAUAACGAGGCGUGCUUCACAUGUAACAAGGGAAGUUUUGUCGCUGAUAUACACUUACAACGUAAUUUAUCUGCUCUAUGAUUACGCCUUGACCCCUUCGCCGUUUCUUGGCCAUACACAUCAACAUAUGUGUUAUGGUAUCAGAUGGUAACUUUCUGACCGAAGGUCAGAGAAAUUGCGAUUGUUUACUGCAAAUCACGACGAAAAACAACUCAAUUGAGAAAAAUGCGUAGAGCCCUGCCAAUUUGGAAUCGGUACGCCUUCAAUCGGUUGUAUCCCUGAAUCUGUCAAAUAAAAAUGAAACGACAUUAGAAGAAAAUCUGCUGCGUUUAUUGUAAUUUAAAUAUCCAAUAUGAGAUUUGCGACUUUCAAUUCUCUCGAAUGAAAAUCCGAACUUUGUGCUGGAUAAGUGCCCUUAACUUCUGCACAAGCUACUGGUAAACCUUAUCGGCUUUAUUUUUUUCUAGUAUCUGGGCAUAAAAGCAACAUCUUUUGCCAUUUUUCCACUCUUCUUCAGUUUAAGUUUGAUGAUCCCCCACUACAUAGCGAUGUAAAGAAAUUCCGGCUAGUUUUGGGACUCUAUAUGAUCGCGAUGAUUCAGAAAAUUAUUGAUGCUAAUCUAUGGUUUACAAUUUACACUAACAGUUAACACUAAUUGAUUUUACCUAUGUUUUACGUUACAUCGACCCACUACAAAUGAAUUGAUCAUAGAGCUAUGAGAGAAUCUAAUAAUGAAUUCAAUUAGAUUUUCGUUCCGUUAUUUUCA